GGGAGCGUAGCUCAGUUGGUUCAGAGCGUCUGCCUUACAAGCAGAGGGUCGGGGGUUCGAAUCCCUCCGCUCCCACAA
rnacentral:tRNA from 1 species